rnacentral:rRNA from 1 species
AUUGCGAAGGCAGGUCACUAUGUUUUAACUGACGCUGAUGGACGAAAGCGUGGGGAGCGAACAGGAUUAGAUACCCUGGUAGUCCACGCCGUAAACGAUGCUAACUCGUUUUUGGGUUUUCGGAUUCAGAGACUAAGCGAAAGUGAUAAGUUAGCCACCUGGGGAGUACGUUCGCAAGAAUGAAACUCAAAGGAAUUGACGGGGGCCCGCACAAGCGGUGGAUUAUGUGGUUUAAUUCGAUGAUACGCGAGGAACCUUACCAAGGCUUAAAUGGGAAUUGACAGGUUUAGAAAUAGACUUUUCUUCGGACAAUUUUCAAGGUGCUGCAUGGUUGUCGUCAGCUCGUGCCGUGAGGUGUUAGGUUAAGUCCUGCAACGAGCGCAACCCCUGUCACUAGUUGCCAUCAUUCAGUUGGGGACUCUAGUGAGACUGCCUACGCAAGUAGAGAGGAAGGUGGGGAUGACGUCAAAUCAUCACGGCCCUUACGCCUUGGGCCACACACGUAAUACAAUGGCCAGUACAGAGGGCAGCUACCAGGCGACUGGAUGCGAAUCUCGAAAGCUGGUCUCAGUUCGGAUUGGAGUCUGCAACUCGACUCUAUGAAGCGGAAUCGCUAGUAAUCGCGCAUCAGCCAUGGCGCGGUGAAUACGUUCCCGGGCCUUGUACACACCGCCCGUCAAGCCAUGGAAGUCUGGGGUACCUGAAGUCGGUGACCGUAACAGGAG